rnacentral:misc_RNA from 1 species
ACACCUCAACUCUCAUGGUUUUGCCGUGAUGAGCUUGGACUUUGGGGGUCUUGCCGGCCUGCGGUCGGCUCCUCUCAAAUGAAUCAGCUUGCCAGUGUUUGGUGGCAUCACGGGUGUGAUAACUAUCUACGCUUGUGGUUUUCCACCAGGUAACCUUCAACAAUGAAGGUUCGCUGGAGCUCAUAAAUGUCUCUCCUCAGCGAGGACAGCUUCUUGAAC